rnacentral:tRNA from 1 species
GCGGGUGUAGUUUAAUGGCAGAACAUCUGGUUGCCAAUCAGAUAGCGGGAGUUCGAUUCUCCCCACCCGCA